AAAUCACUUGAACCCGGGAGGCAGAGGUUGCAGUGAGCCGAGAGUACGCCACUGCACUCCAGCCUGGGCAACAGAG
rnacentral:snRNA from 1 species